UUCAGUUUGCUUGCAACUGGAGAUGGCGACCGGCGCACGGGUGAGUAACACGUAUCCAACCUGCCGAUAACUCGGGGAUAGCCUUUCGAAAGAAAGAUUAAUACCCGAUGGUAUAAUCAGACCGCAUGGUCUUGUUAUUAAAGAAUUUCGGUUAUCGAUGGGGAUGCGUUCCAUUAGGCAGUUGGUGAGGUAACGGCUCACCAAACCUUCGAUGGAUAGGGGUUCUGAGAGGAAGGUCCCCCACAUUGGAACUGAGACACGGUCCAAACUCCUACGGGAGGCAGCAGUGAGGAAUAUUGGUCAAUGGGCGCAGGCCUGAACCAGCCAAGUAGCGUGAAGGAUGACUGCCCUAUGGGUUGUAAACUUCUUUUAUAUGGGAAUAAAGUUUUCCACGUGUGGAAUUUUGUAUGUACCAUAUGAAUAAGGAUCGGCUAACUCCGUGCCAGCAGCCGCGGUAAUACGGAGGAUCCGAGCGUUAUCCGGAUUUAUUGGGUUUAAAGGGAGCGUAGGUGGACAGUUAAGUCAGUUGUGAAAGUUUGCGGCUCAACCGUAAAAUUGCAGUUGAUACUGGCUGUCUUGAGUACAGUAGAGGUGGGCGGAAUUCGUGGUGUAGCGGUGAAAUGCUUAGAUAUCACGAAGAACUCCGAUUGCGAAGGCAGCUCACUGGACUGCAACUGACACUGAUGCUCGAAAGUGUGGGUAUCAAACAGGAUUAGAUACCCUGGUAGUCCACACAGUAAACGAUGAAUACUCGCUGUUUGCGAUAUACAGUAAGCGGCCAAGCGAAAGCAUUAAGUAUUCCACCUGGGGAGUACGCCGGCAACGGUGAAACUCAAAGGAAUUGACGGGGGCCCGCACAAGCGGAGGAACAUGUGGUUUAAUUCGAUGAUACGCGAGGAACCUUACCCGGGCUUAAAUUGCAUUUGAAUAUAUUGGAAACAGUAUAGCCGUAAGGCAAAUGUGAAGGUGCUGCAUGGUUGUCGUCAGCUCGUGCCGUGAGGUGUCGGCUUAAGUGCCAUAACGAGCGCAACCCUUAUCUUUAGUUACUAACAGGUCAUGCUGAGGACUCUAGAGAGACUGCCGUCGUAAGAUGUGAGGAAGGUGGGGAUGACGUCAAAUCAGCACGGCCCUUACGUCCGGGGCUACACACGUGUUACAAUGGGGGGUACAGAAGGCAGCUACCUGGUGACAGGAUGCUAAUCCCAAAAGCCUCUCUCAGUUCGGAUCGAAGUCUGCAACCCGACUUCGUGAAGCUGGAUUCGCUAGUAAUCGCGCAUCAGCCAUGGCGCGGUGAAUACGUUCCCGGGCCUUGUACACACCGCCCGUCAAGCCAUGAAAGCCGGGGGUACCUGAAGUA
rnacentral:rRNA from 1 species